AUUGAACGCUGGCGGCAGGCCUAACACAUGCAAGUCGAGCGAGCGGCGGACGGGUGAGUAAUGUAUGGGGACUGCCCGAUCGAGUGGGAUAACUCCUGGAAACGGUAGCUAAUACCGCAUACUAUCGGAUAACCCAUAUGGGAUUAGCUAGUAGGUGAGGUAAUGGCCCACCUAGGCGACGAUCCCUAGCUGGUCUGCGAGGAUGAUCAGCGACACGGGGACGGAGAAACGACCCAGAAUCCGACGGAGGCAGAAGUGGGGAAUAGUGCACAAUGGGCGCAAGCCUGAAGCAGCCAUGCCGGGUGUAUGAAGAAGGCCCUAGGGUUGUAAAGUACUUUCAGUCGGGAGGCGUUACCGACAGAAGAAGCACCGGCUAACUCCGUGCCAGCAGCGCGGUAAUAC
rnacentral:rRNA from 1 species